rnacentral:misc_RNA from 1 species
UUGAUUCAUUUGUUUUUGUUACUCAGAAGGAGAUUCCACUGAAGAGCGAAGGCAAGAGUUUGGGUCCCCCGGCGGGCGCCGGGGCGGUCCGCCGAAGCAACGUAGGUAUGUUCACAGGGGUUUGGGAGUCGGUAUAACUCUGUAAUGAUCCCUCCGCUGGUUCACCAACGGAGA